rnacentral:rRNA from 1 species
UACGUAGGGGGCGAGCGUUGUCCGGAAUCAUUGGGCGUAAAGCGCGUGUAGGCGGCCCGGUAAGUCCGCUGUGAAAUCCCACGGCUCAACCGUGGAACUGCUCGGUAUACUGCUCGUCUUGAGCCAACUAGGGGCGACCGGAACAAACGGUGGAGCGGUGAAAUGCGUAGAUAUCGUUUGGAACGCCGAUGGUGAAAACAGGUCGCUGGGGUUGUGCUGACGCUGAGACACGAAAGCCAGGGGAGGCGAACGGG